rnacentral:rRNA from 1 species
GAUGAACGCUGGCGGCGUGCCUAAUACAUGCAAGUCGAGCGAACAGACGAGGAGCUUGCUCCUCUGACGUUAGCCGCGGACGGGUGAGUAACACGUGGAUAACCUACCUAUAAGACUGGGAUAACUUCGGGAAACCGGAGCUAAUACCGGAUAAUAUAUUGAACCGCAUGGUUCAAUAGUGAAAGACGGUUUUGCUGUCACUUAUAGAUGGAUCCGCGCCGCAUUAGCUAGUUGGUAAGGUAACGGCUUACCAAGGCAACGAUGCGUAGGCGACCGGAGAGGCUGAUAGGCCGCCUGGGAGCGGGAACGCGGUCCUUGCUACUGCGGGAGGGACCAGUAGGGAAUCUUACGCAGUGGGCGAGAACAUGACAGAGCAGGGGCAAGUGAGAGAUGGAAAUGUUGGGUGCGUAAUACUCUGUUAUGAGGGAAAAACAAAUGUGGAAGUAACUAUGCACGUAUUGACGGUACCUAGUAAGAAAGCAACGGCUAACUACGUG